UACGUAGGGCGCAAGCGUUGUCCGGAAUUAUUGGGCGUAAAGAGCUCGUAGGCGGUCUGUCACGUCUGCCGUGAAAACCCGAGGCUUAACCUCGUGGCUUGCGGUGGAUACGGGCAGACUAGAGGUAGGUAGGGGAGAACGGAAUUCCCGGUGUAGCGGUGAAAUGCGCAGAUAUCGGGAGGAACACCGGUGGCGAAGGCGGUUCUCUGGGCCUUACCUGACGCUGAGGUGCGAAAGCGUGGGGAGCAAACAGG
rnacentral:rRNA from 1 species